GGAAAUGUACAAGAUAUAUGGUUACUGCAGAUGCCAUAAAGCACAGUACAUGCUACAAGGAUCAAAGAUUAACUAGCUGAUAUGAUCCAGUUUCCAAUUACAGCAGUAACAACUCCUCUUUAUACGAGCUAUUCGGAUGCUUACUGGGGUGAUUUAGAGGUCAAAACUGUGGCUGUUGAAAUGGAAAAUAGCCUGAUGGCCUCUUCUUUGCAAGUUUUGCCUUCUGCACUCUUUAGCAACACUGGACUGAAGAGUAGGAGGACCACAUACUAUCACACCAAUAUCUACACUUCCCCAACUCUUUGCAAGUGGUCCAAAUAUCUCUGCAGAAAAAGAAGUUAAAACACACUGUCAAGAAAACUAAGGGAAAGUAGACCUUGCAAAGUUCAUAUGCUUCUCUGAACAUACCUUGGAAAUCUGGUCUUUCACCAUAUCGAAUAGUAUUAACAGAUCGAGCUUCUUCAAGAUUCUUGUGUAAAGAGGCCUCAAUAUUCUGCUGCAGGUUGUCGACCUUCUUUGUGCUAUCCUCUGGUUCCUCCUUCAAUGAGGUUUUCCUUUCCCAAAGAUGCCAUAAAGCGAUCACGAGACCCCCAAAUAUAACAACACUUGCAGCCAUGCAUCCAAUCAACAAAAGCCCCUUGUACCACCAGUAAGUUACAUUGUAUGGAUUUAUGUACAAGAUGUCUAAUAAUGCUACAGUGACCACCAACCCAAUUGUGGAUACUAUGACAUACAAUCCAGACCAUACAACAUUUCCAGUACCAAUCAAACUAGACAUUCGACAUCCACUGAAGCCAGGGGAGAUUGAGGUGUGCAUUGCUUUCGGUCUUUUGCCCUCCUCCUGAGCCGAAAAGAAGUAAACAUUACACACAAUAUAAAAUGGAGUGAUGUUACAUAAACAAAAUGAGAAUACGAAGAACCAAAUACCAAUGAAGGUUGUGAUUCCCGAGUCACAAAUGUUUGAAUCUCAAGAUUCAGUUUAUCAGAAUAAAGUGGACAGAUUGCCUCCAUGGCAAUUGUCUCAAGAAGUGGGAGCUCAUCUGAGUUUUUUAUAGCCCAUACUAUUAGUAUAUUUCUUGGAAGGCAAGGCCUGCUAUUGUUGAUACGGUGGAGGAUAUCACUCAGGAUAGCUAGGAAAGGAGAUAUUCCAAUUCCACCUGCUACCAAAAUGAGAUUUUCAUACCUGGGGGGAGAAACAUGGUUAACACAAUUGAUUAGCCAAUGAAUUGGUACUGAAACAAAAGAAUUGUAUACUCAGUAGAUAAUGCUGGACUUGACAUACGUCAAAUGAUAUGGUGAUUCAUGCCCAUAAGGACCUUCGACAGAAGCUGUUAAUAUCCUGUUAUGCUGCAAAAGGGGCUCCAUUUCAUGUUGUUCGACAGAAAGAUUCAAGAUAUGCCCCUUCAGUUUUUCGGUCCAAUCUCCAAGAACCUUUAUGAGAAUAGCAAGAUGAUGUUUCCCAUCAAGGGGACUGGAGGAGACACUGAAAGGGUGCCACUGCAGCCAGGACAACUCGCGUAUUUGUAAGAACAUCCAGCCAAGGGCGUUGUAAUGUAAAUCUACAUCGCGAGGGAAGAAAUAUUAGAAUCACUGAAAAAUGAAGUGGUGAGGAAAUCAGUAGAGUUCAAAGAUUUAAUCUUUUACUUGCAGGUUUUGAAAGAACGAGUUCAAUUGUUCCACAAGGAAAGCAUGUGGCUGAAAGAAUGUCAACAGUCUUUCGUGACUGGAAGAACCUAAGGAACCGAUCAAGCAUGAAAAGGAAGAUCCCGGCACCAGCCAUCAUGAAGAUGAAGUCACCAACAUGCAAGGCCAGGAACACCACGAACACCACAUAUAAUUGGUGCGUAUAGAAGAACAAUUCAAAGUUGUUCCUCCUUACUCCUGGAAGUGAAGUCACCCACAUCAAUAAACCAGCUGCAAGGCUGAUAACUCCUGGAAGAUGGGCUACUCCUACGUUUUUCCACUGGAUUAGCUGCAUUAAACACAAUGGCAGAGUUCAAGUCUUAUGUUUUCUUUACCAAGAAAACACAGAAAGAUGCAUUACAUGUGAUGAAGGGCUAGGCAAAUGAAUUUUCAGUUUUAGAACUCACUUCCUCCACAAGGCACCCGCGCAUUGCCCAGCCAAUCACAUAGAAUAGACCGUGAAGGCUAAAAAGAGCCAUAGUAGUAUGUCCCAGCCAAACAUGAUAUCGAGUGGCAUGCUCAAAUGGGAUAUCUAUAGCUCGAAGAAGAACUGAACCCCGUGCAACAGGUAUAAACAAAAAUGCUAAGCAGGUUAAUCCAAUGAAUCCAAAACGACGGCCUGUUAGCUCCAGCAACAUAGCGCUGAAGAGAUUACAACAGAGGAUAUUAGUCAAUGACGCAGAGCCUGUAAUUAGAAAAAGAGGACCUUGGAUAUAGUUAUUAUUCCAGCAGGCCGAGUCUAAAUUCUGUUUGAAGAAUAAACAUGAAAUCUUUAAUACAGUCAACUCAUGUUUAGCUCAAGCUUCAGUAAAUUGGGGUUAUCAAUCUUUCAGGAAGAAUAUUCAGUAGUUUUACUUUUAGAAUUCUACUGCCAUUGCACAUCUCUGGAGAACUAACUGCUACUUUAUAUAAAAGAAGAUAACAUAAGAACAAACUUGAAGGACCAAAACUUGAACCAAGGAUAUAAUGGAUUGAAACCUUUCCAAAUGUAGAGCAGUUGAGAGCCAGAAGAGUUUAAAACAAAUAAUUUUAGAACAAGAAUAUCAUGUAGUCCUUUCGGAAAACGAAUAAUGGUUUGUAUAGCUGAGUCAUACAUGUAUAUAUGAAAGGAUUAAAGGUAACUAGUUCGCUGAAAGGAUGAUAGUUUAGGCAAGCUGAAACAGCACGGUCCAAACUAUAGACAGCAAUUAAUAGGCCUAAGUCUGUUGAGUUAAAUAUUGCAUGAUCUUGAACAUGGUGAAUUUUAUUGCCAUUGGGAAACAACUACUUUCUCUUCAAAUACAUACAAAAUAUAGCAAGAAAUCAGUGAAACCCGAACAAGAAAGUAACGUGAUCAUGGUGACAGAAUUACCUUUUCUCUUUCAUGUCUUGUACAUGAAGCGAGGAUAAGCGGUCAACACUCCGUAUACUGUACAUAAUAACAGCCCAGAUGAUGUACACUGAGAAGAGUGUAACUCCAAUCAUUUCUGCAGCUGUAACAACCCCAAAUGGUCCAUCCACCAGCACUGGGAAUGUCCAUAAGCGAAAACUUGGACAUUUUGCAGUUUUCUUCCUACAACAAUUUAAAAUUCAGGUAACUACACAAGUUCAUAACAUCCACUAACUUCUAACGGAGUUCCUUUGAACUAAGAAAUCAAGCUAGCAGAUGCACAUACACUUGGGGUUCAUCUUUACCAGAGAGAACGAGGCGAAUAACUGCAAGAAAUGCAAUCAUGAAAAUUGGGAAACUGAAUAUCAAGAAUUUGCUUCCUGCAGUUCAACAGAAACUGAGAUUACUUUCUAACAAAGUGGAAAAACAAAUACAGUAUAAAAGCAAGAAAUUUUCCAUGUUGGCAACAAACCUGUUUUCCCAAAGAUAGUUCCUUGGGUAUCUCGAAUCAAUUUCUUUUGCAAUUCAUUCAUGUAUGCUGAAGGCAAUAAGAAAAGAAAAGUAGCCCAUGCAAUGAAGAUCAUCCACAUUAAUACAUUGAGAAUCAACUUUGUUGAUGAUACCCAAAAGGGUGUCUUAUUGAGAUAGUUAAAAUCAUUUUCUUUCUUCAAAAGAAGAGGUUCUUGGCCUGAGAAUUCACUCAUUACAGAAUCUUUAAAGUUUGGCAACAAUUAGUACACUCUCCAGGCCUAUUCUUGUACUUUAUUUGGCCUAUAUCAAGCAUCCCCAGUAAAGUAGUUAAUAUAUACAAGAAAGCUUCAGUAUAAACCAAAUCCAUCAACAUUCAUAGGUCAUGUACAGAAUUAAGCAGAAAUUUGGCUGAAAUGAAGCCACAAAAAAUCGGACCACUCAACAAUUAAUUCCUCCCCCCACCCCCGACAGUUACAGUAUAUGUCUGUCUCAUUGUUAAUAUACUAGGAAAGCUCAGUUUAUAUUAUUCGGUAAAGGGUAGACAAUCACGAGCCGAGAGUCUAUCAGAAACAGUCUCUCUACCUGUCACAGGUAGUGAUAAGCUACACAUUAACGUCUCCAAACUCCAUUUGUGGGUUCCCACUGGGUUAUUGUUGUUGUUGGAAGGGGUAGACAAAUACAUGGUUCUUCUUAAAACUGAGAAAUAUGAUGUUACAUGAUAUAGUAGUAGAUUUAUAGUUCUACUGACAAGUUAAUACAUUUUUGCUACAAGAAUGAUGGCCACAGCUUCUUGAGCUUGAAUUAUUUAUCGGAAAACUAUGCUGCGCUUUUGCUGACUUGCAAAAUUACAAAGUACUAUUGUAAUUUUACGUGUUGAUAAGAACAAAUAAGAGAGGGAGUCUUCAUUUUUACUGUUCUACACAUAUUAGAAAUUUACACAUUAUAAAUAACGCUUACAUUGUUACGUUUCAUGUGAUCUAUUAUGUUCAUUCUCAACAAUGCCGAAACUUUAUUGCUGAAGAAAGAAAGUCAAGAAUUUUUAAAAGAACAUUUGACUAGACUGAUAAUAAACAAAAAAAAACAUUUUUAGGUGUAGUGUUGCGGUCUAAAGACUUCCACGUUCACUCCCAAAAUAACUUUUCCGCUUCGCUUUCUUUGUUUCACGAUGAGUACAAAGACCCACAAAUAUUAAUUAAGAGACUCGCACUCUCAUUUAUUUCCUAUCUAUUUUAUGAAAAAUUCUUAAAAAGAAAAUUCAAAUUCGCGGACCAGUAGCUUUUGUUUGACGUAGACUAGAGUCACUAGACAGCUGUUCGAGAUUCUUUUUUGUGCUAUCAAAUUUCGAGGCUAAUGAUAUUAAUUAUCCCAAGCGUCAUUUUUGUAAGUUGAAAGACUCGUUUAAGGUCCAAAACUUUACAACUUGUUUCGAUGGUUGUUAUGUAUCGUCUAAUAUUGUAUCGUAUUGUUUUGAUGUAUAUAAUGUUUGGAAAUAUUGUAUUGUUUGUCGUCGUUUCAUGAUGUCAUGUACCAACAAUAUGAAAAAUAAACUUGUAUAGUCAGACCUCUGUAUAAUUGUAUCCUUAUAUAACAAUACUUCACUAUAAAAGCCAAGUUUUUCCGAAACCAAAUUUCAUGUUCUAUUAUAAUAUAUGUUUUCUAUAACAAUAAUUCACUAUAACAUCCAAAAAUAUCUGGAACAAACGAGAUUGUCACAGAGAGGUUUGACUGUAAUAUUAUAAAAAAAAAGUAAGGCACGAAAUAAUAUUAUUAUAUAUAAGCUUGUUUAGCGUGCAUCUUUCAUCUUCUCCACUUUUUUUUAAAAAAAAAAACUCCGGGACACUUCUACGUGUGAAACACCAAUGCAGUUUCUACAAAAUUUAAUUAGUAGCCUGGAAAAAGGCCAUUUGUGCAAAUGACCCCCUUAUCUGUGCAGUCAUGAUAAAGGUCAAGUUGUUAAAGUAAAAAUGAGCCUUUACAAAGAGCAACAUCCUUUUAGAGUAGAGUCGUUGGAAAAUAAAAAUCGAAGCAAAUUAGAUACAACUUACAAGACACUAUGACACUGGUAUGGAAUUCAGAAACUCUCAUUGAUAACAGGCUGCAGGUUUAUGUAGUUACUAGCCGUAUAGGUGAUACUGUUAUAUACUAUAUUGUUAAAGCUGCAUUUACAACGACUGAAAAUGUACAAGAAGCUUACUACAGAUACCAUAAAGCACAGUACAUGCUACAAGGAUCAAAGAUUAACUAGCUGAUAUGAUCCAGUUUCCAAUUACAGCAGUAACAACUCCUCUUUAUACGAGCUAUUCGGAUGCUUACUGGGGUGAUUUAGAGGUCAAAACUGUGGCUGUUGAAAUGGAAAAUAGCCUGAUGGCCUCUUCUUUGCAAGUUUUGCCUUCUGCACUCUUUAGCAACACUGGACUGAAGAGUAGGAGGACCACAUACUAUCACACCAAUAUCUACACUUCCCCAACUCUUUGCAUGUGAUCCAAAUAUCUCUGCAGAAAAAGAAGUUAAAACACACUGUCAAGAAAACUAAGGGAAAGUAGACCUUGCAAAGUUCAUAUGUUGCUCUGAACGUAC
rnacentral:lncRNA from 1 species